GACAGAGGUGCCGAGCGUUAGGCGGAAUCACUGGGCUUAAAGCGUGUGUAGGCGGACCGUUAAGUACCUUGUGAAAUCCCCCGGCUCAACCGGGGAACGGCUGGGUAUACUGGCGGUCUUGAGCCAUCCAGGGGCAGUCGGAACAGACGGUGGAGCGGUGAAAUGCGUAGAUAUCGUCUGGAACGCCGAAGGUGAAAACAGAACUGCUGGGGAUGCGCUGACGCUGAGACACGAAAGCCAGGGGAGCGAACGGG
rnacentral:rRNA from 1 species